rnacentral:tRNA from 1 species
GUAGAUAUAGUUUAACAAAAACAUUAGAUUGUGAUUCUAAAAAUAGGGGUUAAACUCCCCUUAUCCACC